UUCUCCAGUAACCAAUCAAUUGCCUGCACUCCCCAUAAAACCGCUGGCCCUGAACAGUCGGGUGCGACUUCUCUGGCCCCCACUUGGGCCACUGAAGCUUGCCUGGGAGCUGAAUAAAUUGGCUUCUCACUUUUUUAUACCAGCCUCAGUUUCCUCAUUUUACCUCGGAAAUAAAUCUUACAUUUGGUGCUGAAACCUGAGAAGAGUUGUGAGACCCCCCUCCUGGGGAGGGAAACCAACUCUUCCACUGGAGGCUAGACCAGGAGCUGCUCUGCCAUGAGAAUGAUAUUGAACAAGUGAAUAGCCAGGAGCAGCUUCCCAGAUGGAGUGACCUGGACCCAGGCACCUGGAGCAGAAGCCAGGCCCCUUGCCGCUGAGCCCUUUCAAGCUCAGCUCAACAACCCCCCAUUGUGCCUUUGUUCCUUUUUGCCAGCCUGCUUUAUUCCAGGGACAGAAGAAAGAACCUUCGUUUUUCGCCAGGGAGUGAGAAAGGUUGGGGGGAGUCAUUCUGGGGAAGUUAAACUGAGAUAGAAAUGGGGCAACUCCCAACUACUCUCUCCCCCACUGACUGCCACUGUCAGUACAGGAGUUGAACAAAAUCAAAAAAGCAUGGCAGGUGGCUCUUAACAGACCAUGUCCUGCAUCAUCUCAGGCAGUUUGGCAUCUCUCAUCCAACCCCUAGCACACACAAGCACACACACAGCGAAAGAGAGAGAGACAGAGGAGAGAGGAGAGAGGAGAGAGGAGAGAGAGAGCGCCCUUGGUGAGUACACAGAAGACACAUGGACAAAUGCUCCUGUCCCAGUUGCCCUCUGAAGCUAAAUCCAGGAAAGUGAGAAAUAGACUUGCCAUGCUGGACAAUCUGCCGUUGGGAAUGCCACUCUAAGAAAGAUGCCAAGCAGAUUAUCCUGAAAGUAGCCCAGGCCUGAACCAUCCUUCAGAGCUCAGUAGAAUCCUCUCCUCCUCCAAGAGCCAGGCAAGCUCCUGGUUUUCACCUUCAACACAGGAUAUUUUUCAUCACCUGAUGGAAACUGUGGGCCUCACAGUUUACAGAGGGGUAAAACGAGACAGCAGGAGUCGGCACAGUGGAGUGCACUGUAGUGUGGGAUGCAUGAGAGACUGCGGGACACAGUGUCCUUCUGGGGAUCCCAUGUGACUCUAGCCACAUCUCAGUCUCUCCACGCUGCCCUGUGGUGCUCUGGGGUCUUGUGCCCACUGCUUUAUUUCUCCAUCAAAGGAUUUUCCUGCUGUCUCCCAUGCACAGAUAAACAAUCUUCACCAUAAAGCUAAUGACACACAUUUUCUUUUCCAUGACUUCCCAGAAAUUCCCUCUUAUUUUCCUGGCUACUCAUCCUUAAGAAUUGACUUCCAGGAAGUUCCUGCUAACUUCUAUGCUAUCCCCAGGCUGGGCAAGAUGAACCUCUUCCAGCAGCAAUGCAUAUAGAUCUGCCUGUUUAAUUUAAUGCUACAUAAUAUUCUGUUGCACGGAUCAACCACAAUUUAUUUGAUUCAUCGCUUAUUGACUCAAAUGCCUUGUUAAAUUCCUACCAAGAAUGGAAUGCUAGGGUAACAAAAUUUAAUGAGACACAGUAUCUAUAAACAAUGAAUUCAGCGUGAUGGGUAAGCUGACAUUUAACAACUUGAUAUAGUUUGAAUAUUUGUCCCCUCCAGACCUCAUGUUGAAAUUUGAUCCCCAAUGUUGAAGGUGAGACCUAAUGGAAGGUGUUUGGGUCAGGAGGGCAGAUCCCUCGUGAAUAGAUUAAUGCCCUUCCUGGGGGCAAGUAUGGGUGUGUUCUCCUAUGAGUUCCUGAGGGACCUUGUUGUUAAAAAAAGCCUGGCUGCUGGGCACGGUGGCUCACACCUGUAAUCCCAGCACUUUGGGAGGCCGACAAGGAGGGCAGAUCAAGAGGUCAAGAGAUCAAGACCAGCCUGGCCAAUAUGGUGAAACCCCAUCUCUACUAAAAAUACAAAAGUUAGCUGAGCGUGUUGGCAUGCACCUAUAGUCCCAGCUACUUGGGAGGCUGAGGCAGGAGAAUCACUUGAACCCGGAAGGUGGAUGUUGCAGUGAGCCGAGAUUGCACCGUUGAGCUCCAGCCUGGAUGACAGGGCGAGACUCCCUCUCAAAAAAGCCUGGAAUCUCCCUUACUCUCUCUUACUUCCUCUCUCACCAUGAGAUCUCUGCAUAUAUCCAGCUCCCCUUCACCUUCCACCAGGAGGGGAAGCAGCCUUGGCUUUAAUCAGAUGCCCAAAAUUCCAGCCAGCAGAAUCAUGAGCCAAAUACGCCUUUCUCAGCAUUACUUACCCAGCCUCAGGUAUUCCUUUAAAGCAACACAAACUAAAACAACAACUAACCAUGAUUAAACAUAAUCAGAGCUAUGAGGGCAUUAUUAGCCAAAUGUAACAAAAAAUCAAAAGCAAAUAAAAACAUUUGGAUCUGAGAAGGUCCUUAGCUCUUUCUUAAGAAAAACAUUUUAAAUGCCAUAUAUAAAUGAUUUAGAGUGUAAAAGUUUAGACUCUUGCUGCUUAAAGUAUAUUCUGCAGACCAGCAGCAUCAGCAUCACCUGGGAGCUUGUUAGAGAUGCAGAUUCUCCCCUGAGACUGCAGAAUCAGGCUCUUCAUUUUAACGAGAUCCCCAGGUGAUUCAUGUGCACAUUACAAUGUGAGAUGUACUAAGGUAAAGGAUUUGUUGGUUUUUCCUAUCUUGACCUCGUUCCCGUUCCUUUACGAACACUAAUUAAGCCAACUAAUUUGAUGGCAAAUCUUAUGAGGAAUAAUUUUUUGAAAAUUGUCCAAGUGCUGUACAUAAAAUAAAAAACCGUGAGUACAAUACUGGAUCUCACAGAUAGCUCGUGGGAUCCUUUUCUAUCCCAAGCCUCUAUCCACAGAUGUAUUAUUCCAGUUCUUCAAGUUUCUAAGUCCUUGUUCUAGAAAUUCCCGACUUUCCUCCUAAUGAUUCCUUGCUCAUUUUAAUUCAUCACUCACAUUCCUAACGUUGGGAACUGUGGAAGGUGGAAGAUAUCUUAUCAGGAGUGCCAGCUUAGCUUAUAGGUCUUCCUUAAUUCUGAAUUGUAGGUAGUACAAUUCUGGAGCCUAGCUCAAAGAGAUAUUCUAAAACAAAUUAUCUGGACAAAAAAAAAAAAAAGAGAGACAAGAAAAUGUAGAUGUCUGGUCCUUCAAAGACAUUCUACAUUAGGAUGCUUCCUAAAAUGCUCAACAUCACUACUUAUCAGGGGACAGUCAAUUAAAACUACAGAGAUACGUCUGCACACCCUCCAGAAUGGCUAAAAUAAAAGACUGAUGAGAUCAAGUACUGGUGAGGCUGGAGAGUAACGAGAACUCUCAUACAUGGAAGCAUAAAGUGGUACAACCUCUUUGGAAGACUGGCAAACUCUGCUAAAAUUAAACAUGAAUUGGCCGGGCAUGGUGGUUUACACCUGUAAUCCCAGCACUUUGGGAGGCUGAGGAGGGCAGAUCACGAGGUCAGGAGUUCAAGACCAGCCUGGCCAACACAGUGACACCCUGUAUCUACUAAAAAAAUACAAAAAAUUAGCUGGGCACGGUGGCUCGUGCCUGUAGUCCCAGCUACUCAAGAGGCUGAGGCAGGAGAAUUCCUUGAACCCAGUAGGUGGAGGUUGUAGUGAGCCAAGAUUGCACCACUGCACUCCAGCUUGGGCAACAGAGUGAGACUUCAUCUCAAAAAAAAAAAAAAAAAUUAAACAUGAAUCUACCAUGUGAUUUUUUUCAGAAUGUCAUAUAAUUGGUAUCAGCCUUUUCAAAUUGGCUUCUAAUAAUAUUCAUUUAAGUUUCCUCCAUGUCUUUUCACUAAUUUAUAGUUCCUCUUUUUUUAAACCAAUGAAUAAUAUUUAAUUGUCUGGAUGUACCACAGUUUAUCCAUUAACGUACUGAAGGACAUCUUGGUUGCUUCCAAAUUUUGGCAAUUAUGAAUAAAGCUGCUAUAAUCAACCACAGGCAUAAUUAAGUGUGGACAUAAGUUUUUACCUUCUUUGGGUAGAUAACAAGGAGUGUGAUUGCUGGAUCCUAUGGUAAGAGUAUGUUUCAUUUUGUAAUAAGCUCCCAAACUGUCAUCCAAAGUGCCUAUGCCAUUUUGCAUUCCCACUAGCAAUGAACGAGAGUUCCUGUUGCCCCACAACCUUGCCCCAUUUGAUGACAGUGUUCUGGAUAUUGGGCAUUCUUAUAGGUGUGCAGUAGUACUUUCAUUACGUUUAUAAUAAUUUUACAUUAUUUUUAAUGUAAAUAAUCUUUUUAUUUUCCUAAUAUUAAAUGUGUUCUCCCUAAGGGGAAGAGAAAGUUGGCCUCUGUUCCCAGCCCUCCCCAUAAGAAUAAAACGUAAGGAAGAGCACCAUCAGCCUGAGAAGACUGUGGGAAAGGGAUAGGGAGCAUCUCCUCCUUCCACAACAGGUGUUUCCACCUUUUGGCCUCUUUCCCCUUCUUCCUCUCCCCUGUGAGCCCCCUCUUUAACCGCCUCUCACAGCCUAAUGUGUAUAAUACUCAGUAUGCACCAGACUCAACAGACCUUGCAUGUACUUAUUAUAUUAUUUCCCCAGAACAUUCAAAACAUUUGAAAACAACUUUAAAUAGAGAAUAUAUUUUAGGUGAGGUUGAGAAAGGGGGUGGCUACAUAAAGAAACAGUGAAAACAGUUACCAGGGGGAGAGAGUAGUGGGUGGACAAUUUAGCAACAUGAUUCCAUUUCAGAGUUCUCUGCUGUUUGUGGGUGAUAUUAUGUCACUGAAACUGUCAUAGUUAAUCCACAAGGAAGUGGGCGGUGUUAACACAGCCUUUAAUGUGCUGCCAAGGAUGUUUCAUUAACUUGUGAAUCCUGCAAGCAUAGAGAGUAUACUGGUGGGCCAGUGGGGCUGCUUCUCCAGGUCCCCGAAUGCAGCUGGAGAGAUAUAUACUCCAUAUAACGAGGGGGUGAGGACGGAAGGAAUGUGAGUGGGCCUAUAAAAGGGCAGCAUGAGGGAUUCUUGUGGUGCUGAAAUGUUCUAUAUCUUGACUGUAUCGGUGUCAAUAUCCUGAUUAUGAUAUCGUACUACAAUUUUUCAAAAUUAUUAUAGGGAGAAACUAGCUAAAGGAUAUAUUGAAUCUACCAUUUCUUGCAAAUUCAUGUGAAGCUACAAUUAUUUCAAUAUAAAUGCAUAUAUCUGGAGUGGAUAUAUAUAUAUUCCUACACUGUGCAUAUAUACAGUUAGAACCACAUCAGAUAGUGUUACGAUUUUUGAUUCAAAUGUAAAGUAUAAUUUUUAAAACUCAGGUGGAGAAUGAAAGUCUAUUGGAACCAUCUACAUUUUUGCUUACCUUGUUCUUUUCCUCCCCCCGAUAGUCCGUGAUUUCUGCUUUUAUCGUUUUGCUUCUGUUUAGAUAACUGAUUUAGCAUUCUUUUAGGGUAGGCCCAGCCAAUUGAUUGUCUUUUUAAAUUCAGCUCAGGUCGUCCUUGGUCUUGGCAUGAUGAGUGAUUUUUCUAUUAAAAUCUGAGCAUUUUGAAAUUCUGGGUCUUAUUUAAAACUCCUGUUUUAGCUGACUUCUUCUGAUGCUGCUCCAGCAGGGAAGGGGAGAAGAGCACCACCUCAUUACUUUCACCUGUGGGUAGAAGUCCAGAUUCCCCACUUGAUCUCCACUGACACCUGAUAAGGGGAGGACAGCCUUAUUACUGCCAGGUGGAGGAGACAUCCAGGCUUUCUAAGUAGUUUCCAUUGACACUGUGGUGUGAAGAGAUCACCUCAUUAUUUCCCAGUGGAGAGGAAAGUCUGGGCUCCCUAAUUAAUCUGUUCUGACACCAUCUUGUUUAGGAAGUAUGUCAGUCAUUUUAUAGCCUGACAAGGCUGAAAGUCUAGGCCCUCCAUUCAAUAUUUGUUGGCAGGGCUGGGAGUGGGGCCAUCAUUUUUCGUGAUGUUUGGCUAGAGUAGAACAGUUAUUGCCUAAAAUACGUCUAUAUUUCUAAGCGUUCCUGGUCCUUCGGCUGGAGAGAGCAGACUUCACUUGGGGUUUUUUCCGUCUCUAUUAACGUUUCCAGGCUGCUAGUUUCUUUACCUUCUAGUCUGAGAUGUAUGAAGCAAAAACCAAACAAACAAAACCAGGACAGAAAACACACCUCCCAUCAUAUUUUGGGAAAAGUACAUCUACAUCUUCCUAUAAGCAGAAAUCCUUCUGCUUUUCUUUUUAAAUAUUUGAUUGACAAAUAACAAUUGCAUAUAUUCAAGGUGUACAGUAUGAUGAUUUGAUGUAUGCAUACAUUGAUGUAUUAACAAUCAAAUUAACAUAUCCAUCACCACCUAUAGUUACCGUGUGUGUGUUUGUGUGUGUGUGGUGGAGGCACACAAAAACUACUCUUGUAUCAUAUUUCAAGAAAACAAUACAAUUAUAGUCACCAUGCUGUACAUUAGAUCUCUAGAAUUUAUUCAUCGUAUAAUUUCAAGUUUAUACCCCUUGAUCGAAAUCUUCCCAUUUUUCACACCUCCCAGCCCCUGGAAACCACAGUCCUACUCUUUGCUUACAUAAGUUUGACUUUAAGAUUUCACAUGUAAGUGAGAUCGUACAAUAUUUGUCUUUCUACAUUUGGCUUAUUCCAUUUAGCAAAAUAUUCUCCAGGCUUUUUCAUGUUGCUGCAAAUGGUAGGAUUUUCUUCUUUUUUAUAGAUGCAGACUAUCCCAUUAUAGACAUAGAUAUUCUUUACACCAACAAAUUGAAUAACCUAGAAGAAAUUGAUACAUUCCGGAAAACAUACAACCUACAAAGACAAAAUCAUGCAGAAAUAGAAACUCUAAACAGACCAAUUACUAAUAAGAAGACUGAAUCGGUAAUCAAAAACUUCCUAACAAAGAAAACCCCAGAAUUGAAGGGCUACAUAGCUGAAUUCUACCUAGCAUUUAAAGAAAUAAGAAGUGAGUCACUCACUCACAUCUCCCCAAAACCACAACAAUUCUCCACCAAUCCACAGACAGAAGUAUUUUUGUAGGAACCAUGGGAUUUAGGUUGAAGGUUCUAGAAUCUUGGUGAAACUCAAAACCUGAGAGGGUCAUUUUGAGACUGCAGACCCAUACCCAGUCUGCAGUCCUGCCAGUUGUGGUCCUGGGUUCAAACCCGGAAAUGAUUUCACUCCCUGAAGCGUUUGACUACAGCUCUGUUUGGCCUUGAGCCUAUGAUAAAAACCAUCUGCCUUGGGGUUCAGAGGAAUAAUGACCCUAGUGCCUCAGCAGAAAGACUCAUCUGCCCAUCAACAUCGGUCUUGGCAGUGGACCAGAAAGUUACCCUGUAACUUGACUCCAGCCCUUCUCAGCUUUGGUCCCUGCUUAGUACUGCUUACACAAGGGCCCAGUGAGAGACUUGUUCAUCUGAGCCACCAGCACAGGCUUAUCUGCCUCCGUCCCAUAGCAGAUCCUGAAGGGACGCUGUCUCAGCUCCGGACCCACUCUGCCAUAGCCAGGGAGUAAUCCUGCCUAUGCAGAGAAGAGCUGAGAGACUUCUGUGACUGUCACCUUAGUAGGCUUGCCACUCUCUAUCCCAUAGCAGAGACUGAAGAGCCCCUAAAAUUCAAUGCUACCCCACCCAUUGGGAGCUAUGCUGAUGACACAGAGAAAUUCUGGGAGAUGUGCCUCUCUGUGCUAACUGGGCAAGCUUGCCAGACCCUAUCCCACAGCAAAUCCUUAAAGGGGUCCUGUCUCAGCUCCUGUUCCUCUCUGUAACAGCCUUAGAGUUACCCCACCUAUGCAGGAAACUCCUAGGAGAUAGAUCCAGACAGACUUGCUGGACUCUGAUCCAUAGCAGUUCCAUCCCACAAGUUCCAGAAAGGGCUCUGAAUGUCAGCUCCGGCUCCUCUUAGCUGCAAUAUGCAAGCAAAUCUGCCUGCAUAGGAAACUGCUGGGACCACUGCUGUCACUAGUUUGGGCUUGCUGACAUUGGUCUCAUAGCGGAUUCUGAUUGGCCCUGAAGCUCAGUUUCAGCCUCUCCUAGCUGUGGUCUUAAGAGCAGGUCUAUCCAGGCAGGAUCCUGCUGGGAGACAUGACCAUCUGAGUUCCUGCCUUAAGCUUGGCAA